CCUACGGGUGGCAGCAGUGAGGAAUAUUGGUCAAUGGACGAGAGUCUGAACCAGCCAAGUAGCGUGAAGGAUGACUGCCCUAUGGGUUGUAAACUUCUUUUAUAUGGGAAUAAAACGUUCCACGUGUGGGAUUUUGUAUGUACCCUAUGAAUAAGGAUCGGCUAACUCCGUGCCAGCAGCCGCGGUAAGACGGGGGUUGCGAGCGUUAUCCGGAUUUAUUGGGUUUAAAGGGUGCGUAGGCGGGAUGUCAAGUCAGCGGUCAAAUACGGGGGCUCAACCUGCCUCCGUCGUUGAAACUGGCGUUCUUGAGUGGGCGAGAAGUACGCGGAAUGCGUGGUGUAGCGGUGAAAUGCAUAGAUAUCACGCAGAACCCCGAUUGCGAAGGCAGCGUACCGGCGCGCGACUGACGCUGAGGCACGAAAGCGUGGGUAUCGAACAGGAUUAGAUACCCUUGUAGUC
rnacentral:rRNA from 1 species